UUUCCACAAUGUGUUUUUCAGGUUUAUGUGAAGCUCUCCUGAUUGAUAGGCUCAGCUAUCGUAUUUAGUGAGGCAUAUGGAAGUAUCUAGAUUAGUGGUGAUGUGGGCCUAAACCACAGCACAGAUCACGUGAUCCUAAUGUGUAGAUGCUUGUCAAGAAAACCCAGUGAACCUCACAGUAUUCACUGAUGAAAGCUUGCUCUUGACCUGGUAUCCCGUUAAGGUCUUUGCUACUAAACGGUACAAGAUGAUGUGACGUUUUCUUAUUAGAGACAUUCUCAUUUUCAGGUUCCCAUCAAGAGCUCAUGGUGAUGAGCUUCCUAAUGGUUUUUACCAGCGACAUCCUUGUCUUGCAGUAAGUGGUGAUGUGCCUUAAGCAUCCCCACCGACCUUCUGUCUUGAGAUGUCUAGGUAAGUGACGAUAAUAUCACUAACACUUGUGUGACCACAGUUUUGUUUGGUUUUGUGUGUGUGUGUAUGUAAAAAUAGUACCUCAGACAAGGCUAGUAAGCAUUAUUAGCUCUCACAGGCUUAAGAGUUUAGGGGCACCUAGCCCAUCCGUGGAGCAUGUGACUCUUGAUCAUGGGUUGUGAGUUCAAGCCCCACCGUGGGCCUAGAGCUUACUUAAAAAUAAAUCAAUACGUAAGAGCUUAUGUUUAAUGUGUGUUGAACAUAAAUAGUGACCGAGAUCUAUGCAGGUAAGUUAUCCAGGCUUCAUACCCCAGUAUUGACCAUAAGAUUUUUCCAGGUGGUCAGUCAAGAGGUAAUGGUGUCUCUAAUAUCCAUGUAGACCAUGAAGUUCUGCCAGGAUCCAGGUAAUGUUGAUGGUUCCCACAAUGAGGAAAUUGACCAAAAUUCUUUACAGGCCCCCUGGCAGAACACAUUGUUGCCUUACACACAUUUUUGACACCUCUUUUUUUAGGUUCCUGUCAAGAAAUCACUGUGAACGUAAUAACGGUCAUGAACAAAAUCUUGUUAGUAACCAGUGAAGGGAUAGAGUGUUACUUACCGUUAAGACCAUCUAAUCUUCACAUUAUCAAAGCAAGUGAGAAUGAGGUCUCUAACAUUUGUGUUCUCAUCUUUUUGCAGAUAAGCCAUCAAGGUUUUGCUAGUAAACAGGUAUGAGAUGAUGUGACAUUGACAUAGACAUUAUUUUCAGAGCUCUUUGUGACUAAUGAUAUUGUUCAGGCUCUUACAGUAACCUAGUGUUAGGCACGUAUGCAGUUAAAUUAAGUUGUCCCUGACAAUCAUAAUAUGCCUGAGAAUUUCUUAUUGUUUAGGGAUAAUAUGUUUUGGACUGAUAGUGGGACUUUCAGACAUCCAGAUAAUUCAUUAUAUUGUCCAUCGCUGUGUUACUUACCGUGGAAUUAUUGUGGAUAAUCCUUCAAGAGAGGAAGGUGGCGCUUACUAGGGGCUGACCUCAGAGUUUUGCAAGUUUUCAGGUAUUACUGAUGGGUCCUGAAAUAUGAUACAAAUGACCAAGGGAAUUGGCAGUUGUCCAUCAGGAUAAACUUGUACCAAACGCGUUUUUCGCAGUGUGUUUGUCAGGUUCCUGUCGAGACAUCACGACGAACCUAGUGAUGGUCAGUAAUGGGGAACUUUCUGCAAGCAGGCAGAUAAAAGAGGAUGUGGGCCUAAACCUCAGGCAUCUGGUCUCCAGAUAGCUAGGUAAGUGAUGAUGUUUAUAACAUUUCUCAAUCCCAUUACGUUCCUGCAGGUGUUGAGGUAAGAGACAAUGUAGCCCUUACCAGUAAUGAAAACCGUGAGUUCUCACCUUUAUGUUUAGAGAAAAUCUAUAGCCCUGUUCGUGUCGAAGGAUGGUUCUUGUACAGGUGAUUGUCGUGGAGUUCACACCCCAGUAGGACCCACAGAAUGUGGCAGAGUUCCAGUUGAUGUGUUCCAUAGUAAUGGGAGUGAAAAGGUUAUGUUCAGGUGUUCUAGUAGCAUAAUUUGCAUUUCAAACCCAUUGUUGCUUGUGCUUUCACAGGUUCUUGUCAAGAGAACACAGUGAACCUUCCACCGGUUUGGAACGCAUCCUUACUAGUAACCAGGUAAGUCAUACAGUGGGUCUUACUACACUGCAGACCAAUGUAAUCCCCAAUAUCUAGGUAAGUGAGGGUGGUGUCCCUAACACUGUGUUACUGUGUUCAUUUGCAGAUACCCUUUUAAGGUCUUUGCUUGCCCACAGGUAUGCAAUCAUGUGACAUUAACUCAAUGGAGACGUUCUUAUUUUUAGAUACCCACAUAUUAAUGUGUUUCAGGUUCUAGUAUUCACAUUGUUUUUGGCAUGUAUUCUGUUAAGUAAUCAGUGUAUUGCUAAAAUACUAGUAAGAAUGAGAGUUUUAUCCUUGUUCAGAGAUACUGUAUUUUUUAGAACAAGUAGCAAUAGAAGGAUAUGCAGGUAUUCGGGUAAUUGAGAAUAUCGUCCGUCACAGUAUUGUUGACCGUGGCUUUUUUGUAGGUAUCCCUGCAGAGAGGAACCAGUCUCUUCCUAGCUUUGAGCUUGGAGUUCUGCAAGUACGCAGGUAGUGUCGAUGGAUCCCAAAAGAAUACAAGUGACCAAGGGAAUUUGCAGGUGUAUGGGUUAAAUAAGACGUAAACAAAAUUUCCACAAUGUGUUUUUCAGAUUCACUUCAGGACAUGACGGUGAGUCUGUCAGUAGUAGUUCAUGUGAGACCCUGGAGGUAUGAACGUAAGUGAUGAUGUGGACCCCAGCACAGACCAUCUGAUUUGCAUAUGCAUGGACAAGUGAUUAAUUGUUCUAACACUUCUCGUUACCGUGAUUUUUUUUUUUUUUGGCAAGUAUUCGGGGAAAAAAAUGAUGGUUUUACCAACUGUAGAAAACACAAGUUUUCACUUUUAUAUUUCAGGAAGGUUUAUAUUGAACACUGUGAGGCGUUACAUACAUCCAAGUAUUUAUCUUGUGUUCCCUCCGUAGUACUAUUUAUAUGAUAUUUAGAAGCGUCCGAGGGGCGCCUGGGUGGCACAGUCGGUUGAGCGUCCGACUUCAGCCAGGUCACGAUCUCGCGGUCCGUGAGUUCGAGCCCCGCGUCAGGCUCUGGGCUGAUGGCUCAGAGCCUGGAGCCUGUUUCCGAUUCUGUGUCUCCCUCUCUCUCUGCCCCUCCCCCGUUCAUGCUCUGUCUCUCUCUGUCCCAAAAAUAAAUAAACGUUGAAAAAAAAAAUUU